rnacentral:rRNA from 1 species
GACGAACGCUGGCGGCGUGCUUAACACAUGCAAGUCGAACGAUGAAGCCUAGCUUGCUAGGUGGAUUAGUGGCGAACGGGUGAGUAAUACGUGAGUAACCUACCUUUAACUCUGGGAUAAGCCUGGGAAACUGGGUCUAAUACCGGAUACGACCAAUCUCCGCAUGGGGUGUUGGUGGAAAGCGUUAUGUAGUGGUUAUAGAUGGGCUCACGGCCUAUCAGCUUGUUGGUGAGGUAACGGCUCACCAAGGCGACGACGGGUAGCCGGCCUGAGAGGGUGACCGGCCACACUGGGACUGAGACACGGCCCAGACUCCUACGGGAGGCAGCAGUGGGGAAUAUUGCACAAUGGGCGCAAGCCUGAUGCAGCGACGCCGCGUGAGGGAUGACGGCCUUCGGGUUGUAAACCUCUGUUAGUAGGGAAGAAGAGAGAUUGACGGUACCUGCAGAGAAAGCGCCGGCUAACUACGUGCCAGCAGCCGCGGUAAUACGUAGGGCGCGAGCGUUGUCCGGAAUUAUUGGGCGUAAAGAGCUUGUAGGCGGUUUGUCGCGUCUGCUGUGAAAGGCCGGAGCUUAACUCCGUGUAUUGCAGUGGGUACGGGCAGACUAGAGUGCAGUAGGGGAGACUGGAAUUCCUGGUGUAGCGGUGGAAUGCGCAGAUAUCAGGGGGAACACCGAUGGCGAAGGCAGGUCUCUGGGCUGUAACUGACGCUGAGAAGCGAAAGCAUGGGGAGCGAACAGG